rnacentral:misc_RNA from 1 species
AACUAGUUUAGGAUUAAGGUUUAGCUAUUAUUCUAAACUGCUAGAAAAUGAUUUCUAGCUGAUUGCCAUUAUUGCAACCAAAUAAUAGGAAAUUAAUCAGAAAAUAAUACUCGAAAUAUUUUCCAGACAUUAUUCUUGGCGAAACAAAUGGACCUUAUUGCUCCUUUUACAUCCACGCGUGUGGACUGAAUAGUGAAUACCCUCACCCACAUGUACCACCAUGAGCUUACACUCUCACGUGCACAUACAAUGAUACAAACACCAAUCCAGAUAGUUUCUUGUACAUAACACAGACAUGGAUUAAUGUAGAACCAUGAAAAGAAAAUAAAAAAUGCAGAGAAAAGACAUGAAGCACUAAAUUUCAAUUUUAAUCAUCCUAAUACAACCUAAGUACCUAAAGUGCGUCUAAGAAUUACUUAUAUAGGUACUGUAAAAUAACCUAACCCAUUUAACAAAGCCAAAUACCAAAAAUGUCCUAAUAAUUAAAAAACCGAAACAACCUAAAUAAACUAUUUUCUUUCUAAAUAUGUAGGCCUAUAAUCUGUAACAAGAAGUCCUGCAUCAUAAAUUUAAUCCAUUAUCAACUUCAUUCUUUCCAGGUUCGAA